AUACGGAGGAUCCGAGCGUUAUCCGGAUUUAUUGGGUUUAAAGGGAGCGUAGGCGGACGCUUAAGUCAGUUGUGAAAGUUUGCGGCUCAACCGUAAGAUUGCAGUUGAUACUGGGUGUCUUGAGUACAGUAGAGGCAGGCGGAAUUCGUGGUGUAGCGGUGCAAUGCUUAGAUAUCACGAAGAACUCCGAUUGCGAAGGCAGCCUGCUGGACUGUAACUGACGCUGAUGCUCGAAAGUGUGGGUAUCAAACAGGAUUAGAUACCCUGGUAGUCCACACAGUAAACGAUGAAUACUCGCUGUUUGCAAUAUACAGUAAGCGGCCAAGCGAAAGCGUUAAGUAUUCCACCUGGGGAGUACGCCGGCAACGGUGAAACUCAAAGGAAUUGACGGGG
rnacentral:rRNA from 1 species